rnacentral:rRNA from 1 species
GAUGAACGCUGGCGGCGUGCCUAAUACAUGCAAGUCGAACGCUGAAGGAAGGAGCUUGCUCUUUCCGGAUGAGUUGCGAACGGGGGAGUAACGCGUAGGUAACCUGCCUGGUAGCGGGGGAUAACUAUUGGAAACGAUAGCUAAUACCGCAUAACAGUAGAUGUUGCAUGACAACUAUUUGAAAGGGGCAAUUGCUCCACUACCAGAUGGACUUGCGUUGUAUUAGCUAGUUGGUGAGGUAACGGCUCACCAAGGCGACGAUACAUAGCCGACCUGAGAGGGUGGGCGGCCAGACUGGGAGUGAGACACGGCCCAGACGCCUACGGGAGGCAGCAGGAGGGAAUCUUCGGCAAGGGACGGAAGUCUGACCGAGAAACGCCGCGGGAGUGAAGAAGGUUGUCGGAUCGGAAAGCUCGGUUGUAAGGGAAGAAAGAGUGUGAGAGUGGAAAGUUCACACUGUGACGGUAACUGAUCAGAAAGGGACGGCUAACUACGUG